GUGCUCUCUUCAGCAGCACAUAUACUAGAAUUGGAAUGAUACUGAGAAGAUUAGCAUGGCCCCCGUGCAUGGAUGACACGCAAAUUCGUGGUGUUCCAUAUUUAA